rnacentral:lncRNA from 1 species
GAUUCAAGGACGGGUCCACCAACAGCAUUAGGAGAGCAGAUAAAACCUCGGGAAAUCUCUGAAUCCAAGUGUGAGUCAUCAGAAGAGUUGAUUUGAAAGGACAGCUGUACUAACAUUGACUAAGAUGCCUAUUAAAAAUAUUGGCAGUCAAAGAAGGAUCACUCUGUAUUUGAUCAUCCAUUUUGGAAAUUAGCAAAACAAUCCACAGAGAUUCUGAAUAAUAUUUUCACGUCAAGAUAAGGACUUUUCAUUUGUGGGUGUUUUUUUGCAUUUUAUGAUUUCCUCUCAAUUUUAUUCAGGAAAUUGUAGAAACACAAAAUAUUCCUUCUUUGGUGGUACUGAUAUUUGAAACAAAACAUGAAGUCUAGGGUACAUUUUGUAAGUCUAAUUAUGACUUUCCCCCAUGAUCAGUUAUUCUUUUUAUUAGCCUGUGACAAACUGCCUGAGGGUUCUGGGAAACGAGCAGUUAAUUCCAUAUCCUCUGGGGCUCAGUUUGUGGGUGGUUUAAUGCCUGGGUAAUGCACAGGGCUUUUGGAAUAGUUGUAGCCUUUCUGGGAAAAUCCUUGGUGUAGAAGACCUCUUUCCCAUGGUACCUAAUGGGAAAUGCAAGCUAUGCUUCAUCUCCAAGAGCCUCAUGUUCAAGUGUGGUUUUGGGACCAGCUUGCAAGAUUUGUGCCCAUACAAGUUGCUCCUCAGCCUAUGUGAAUUCUACAGGCUAAUUAAGUCCUGUAAAGUAUCCAGUCAUUUGGAACAUUACUGUAACUCAGGUGGGGGGUAACAUGGGAUCUCAAAUGGCUCUUGAAAACAGGAGGAGCUGGAUGUUUUUCUGUGCUCAUUCCAGGGUGGGAUGAGCUUGGUCCCUCUUGUUCCCCAAAACAGAUGAAAAGGCAGGGAAGAGUGUUAAGAUGAAUUUGAUGAAGAAGAACCCACAGCUAGAUGCCUGGGACUAGGAUGAGCUUCAGGUUUGGCUCUGACAUCACUGAAAUACUUCAGCAAAAUAUCAGGACUAAUGUCAGGAAUAAACCAGCAUUGUUAGUUCCUCCUUUCAUCCGAAGCCAAACACCUGCAGCUCUCUGCAGGACUCAAAGAAGACCUCGCUGCCUAGAAAUGCCCAAACAGGACUCCUUCUCCAAUGCUGUGCUGUUGCAGGAAAUGGAUUCAUUAAUGGGAAAAGCUCAAGUUACAGACUCCAGCAAAACUGCAAAGAAAAGAAAAAAGAGGCAGGCCAGAUCCUCAGCUGAUGUCAAUUAGCAGAGCUCUGUCAAUGUCAAAAACUAUCCUGGUUUACAGCAGCUGAAGAUUUGGCUUGGGAGCUUCCAGCUUUUUGAAGCUCCCAUUUGUUAUGCAAGGAUGUGUUGUUAGUGCUGCUCUUUCUCAUGUAGACCUAUAAAUGGGCUCCUGGGCUUGUUUUCUCCAUGUCUACCAGGUUGUUUCACAGAGCUCUGCUGGUCUGCUCAGGAGAAAGCAAUGUGCUGGCCUCUGCCAGGCCACCCAGGCUGCUAUAUGUUGCUUCCACGGGUGGAGAUGGCAGUGGUGCAAGGGAUUUGUCUCUUGAGAGACUGCGAGCUGAUAAGGAGUAUGGGAACUCCACCAGAAAGGCGGGAAAUAUCAGAUAUCCACAGCUUCGGUGAGGCCCAAGAAAAUGUGUUUAUGCUUUAAAGCUGCUGUUUGCUGUCUGAGUAGUCUUUUUUUUUAUUGAUUCCACAACUUUGCACCAGCUAAACCUACUGGAAGAUAGAGUUUUUCAGCUUACAUACAAUAUUUAAUUCCAUAUACAUGCACUAUUAUGUUGAAAGGACUAACCUGGUAUCUCCAUGUCCCAGACUGCAUUAUAUCAGACCAGCUGGAAGUUAGUAUUAGUGCAGAGAUUUGCACCAUACCUUACUGCUCAGUCUAAAUGUUCUUUACCUUUGAUAUUCCCAUACAGAAAAUAAUAAUGAAAAAAAAAGGGCUUACCUCUAUGUGACUAUUUCAAGUUGUUACCACAGUUAAGAAUAGAGGGGUUGGUGUCUAAGUCUUCCUAUCCUGGAAAUGAUAUAUAUGGAUGCACG